GCCUUGGACCUGCUUGCAUGGGGAAUUGUGACAGAUUACUGGGCCCAUCACCUAGUAGAUGUUACUGUCUAUUUUUUACCUGGAUCCUGCCUACAGAAAGGAUUGUGACAAAUCAGUGGGCCAAGCAUCCCGGUGACGUGGCUCUUCUGUCUUAGCAAUUCCUAUAGUUGGAAUAGUGACAUAAACCUGGGUCAAGCAUCUGGGGUAAUUUGUGACAUACUGCUGGACCCAGCACCCAGGUCAUUUGACUCUCCUGCCUUGGCCCUUCCCACAGAGGGCAUUGUGACAUUGAGUGGGCUCAGCAGCUAGGUGAUACGACUUUCCUGCCAGGACUCUUCCAACAGAAGGGACAUUGACCUACUCAGGCUCAGUAUUCAGCCAAUAGAUGAAAAAAGAUUCAAGGAAGACACAUUUGCUUUUUAUUCACUCAUCACUUCCCAUCACUAUGCUGACCAGAGUCAAUGUGAGCAGAGUUGAGAAUAGCAGUUUUCUGGCAGGAGAGCCACUUCUCAGCAAAAAAUGACACACUCAAAGUAUAAAUCUUUCAUGGAAGGCUCACAUAUUUUCAGCAAAUUAAGCAUAUGCAUGAAUAAAAUUCUUGUGGUGAAA